rnacentral:rRNA from 1 species
UACAGAGGUCCCAAGCGUUGUUCGGAUUCAUUGGGCGUAAAGGGUGCGUAGGCGGCGCGGUAAGUCGGGUGUGAAAUCUCGGAGCUUAACUCCGAAACUGCAUUCGAUACUGCCGUGCUUGAGGACUGGAGAGGAGACUGGAAUUUACGGUGUAGCGGUGAAAUGCGUAGAUAUCAGGAGGAACACCGAUGGCGAAGGCAGGUCUCUGGGCUGACACUGACGCUCAUGCACGAAAGCGUGGGGAGCAAACAGG